rnacentral:lncRNA from 1 species
AUGGAAAAAGCCCUCCUGGCAGCUGUCCUUCUUCCUGGACACUCGACACAGGUGCCACGGGCCUGGCCCCACGCCAGCUCUGAGCUCCUGCCUGGGCCUCGAGUCCCGGGACACGUGAGAGGGAGCCCGGGCAGCAGGGCGCUGACAGUGGCCGCAGCAUCCUGUUCGCUGGCGGCGGUGCCCUUGGGGCCUGCCGCGUGCCUGCAGUCCCCGGCGCCCCCACAGGUGUAUCCUGAGGCUUGGUGCUGCCUGUGGUUGGACGGUGGCCAGUCUUGGUUCCUACUGUUUUCUAAACUUCUUCCCAGAACUUCUGUGAGUCUUUCAGUUCUUGAGAAGAUGGACGAGACCUGUGAAAUGAAAUACAGAGUGAUGGACAGCCCUCUGGGGAAGCUGGAGAUCUCUGGUUGUGAGCAGGGUCUGCAUGGGAUAAAGCUGCAUGGCGGGAAGACCCCAGACACUAGACCCGCGGAGGCCACCGCUCCUGCUGAGCAGCUCGGAGGUCCCGGGGCAGUGCAGCCCCUGCUGCAGUGCGCGGCCUGGCUGGACGCCUAUUUCCGCGAGCCCGCUGUCCUCGAGGGGCUCCCCGUGCCCGCGCUGCACCAUCCCAUCUUCCAGAAAGAGUCAUUCACCAGACAGGUGUUAUGGAAGCUGCUGAAGCUUGUGAAAUUCGGAGAAACGGUUUCUUACCAGCAAUUAGCAGCCCUGGCGGGCAACCCCAGAGCAGCGCGGGCCGUGGGAGGAGCCAUGAGGAGCAACCCUGUGAGUGUGUGGCCGCGGUCAGCGGGGUGUCGGGGCGAGUGUCAGAGGCAACCUGGGCUGCUGGGGAGGAGAGGAGGUGUUCACGUCAGGGCCUCUGGAAGGGGGUCGUCCAGUCUCGGAAGGCUGUGGUGUGGGCCUGGCCAAGGCCACACUCGCCUGAGGACCCUGCAGGGGGUGGGAAGGGCACCCCAUCCACACAGCAGCUCGGCCUCUGGGAGCCCUCACACGAUUGCACGGGGCCCUGGAACGUCUCCGGUGUCGUUAGUCUGCAGUGCCCACCAGACCUGGGCGCUGUGGCCCCGUGACACGCUCUCCAGACCCCAGUGCUGUCACUCAGGGACAGCCUCUCCAGACCCGGGCGCUGUCGCCCUAGGAGGGUCUCUGCAGACCUGGGCGCCAUCGCCCUGGGACAGUCACUCCCUGAAGCGGUAGGGACUCUGUAACAUGGUGGGAGAGUGCCAUCCAAUCAGGAAAAGCCAGCAGAUGGUCACAUCGCGGGGCGGGGAGCUACUCCAAUACGGUUUCCGUCCAUGCUCGCUGGGGAGAGGCGGGGUUUGCCCAGCAUGGCCCGCGGCCCCCUCCCCUCAGCUGGUGGCCCCGGGACAGGGCCGGUGUUUUGAGAGGGCGGCCACUCGGCCUUCCACACAGAACCGCACCGUUGUGGGCGCAGGGGCGGCUCCUGUGGGUGGCGUGAGCUGUUGUAGUGUCCGUUUGCCUGGAGAAGAGUCUGCGUCCGUGUUAAACACCCCAGACUGUCAGGAGCAGUGCGCGGCAGAUGACAGCACCGCCACCUCGCAGGCCGCGAGCCCCGCGCGGCAGGGGCUGGGGGAGUGGGUUGGUGUCGUGUUUGCCUCUCUCGUGCUUCCAUCGCAGCGUCCCCGUGUGUCAGUCACACACGCCAUCUCCACAGGCUGCAGGCCUCGUUUGCGUGGCACACGUGGGUGACCCUGGAUCAAUUUCCGGGGGUAACUGUUGAGGCUUCCCAGUGACGCUGACGUGGCUCCUCUCCUCUGGAGGCCCCCGCCUUCUCCCAGGUCACUCUGUUAGACAGUGUGACCCCACCCCGUGCUGUGUGUCCACGCAGGGCCUCUGGGUGAGCUCUGGAGGUGCCUGCUCCCUGCAUCCCAGGGUCCCCGAGCUGUGUAGAAAUUCUCCCGUCUGUCUGCACUCCAUUCAUGCCCUGGGGAUGCUUGGUCCUUCUGCUCCUCUCCCUGAGGGCCUUCCCCUCCCUGAGGCUGGCCUUUCAUCCCAGCACUGCCUGCCCCCUCGGCACGUGCAGCCCCGCUCACUGGCGUGCACAGCAGCCCACACCUGCCCCUCGUGACACCCGCAGUUCCCCACUUUCUGAAGUGGCCAGGCCGUGGCUGCUGGCGACAGCGCGUAAGGCAGCAUUCAGAAACCUUCACUGUCCUGCAGGCAGCAGGACUGCCUC